rnacentral:rRNA from 1 species
UACGUAGGGUGCGAGCGUUGUCCGGAAUUACUGGGCGUAAAGAGCUCGUAGGUGGUUUGUCGCGUUGUCCGUGAAAACUCACAACUCAAUUGUGGGCGUGCGGGCGAUACGGGCAGACUAGAGGUAGGCAGGGGAGAGCGGAACUCCUGGUGUAGCGGUGGAAUGCGCAGAUAUCAGGAAGAACACCCGUGGCGAAGGCGGCUCUCUGGGACGGUACUGACGCUGAGACGCGAAAGCGUGGGGAGCGAACAGG